AUACUGAGUCUUUGUAUUCAUUGCAGCAAAUGAAGUUGGUUAGUUUCAAUACCAACAUGACACUAGGUGAGUCAGAUGGGAAGAAUGACUCUCAACUGAAAAUGCCUCCAUUCAUGUGGCCUGUAGGUUUAAUAAAACAAUCAACAUUAACAAAUUGGAGAUGAAGAGAUAUUUCAGAAGACAAUGGUUCUACCUACUUUGCCUUAUGACCUAGGUUUGAUCCCUAGCUUCCACAUGAUUUCAGAUUCCAUGGUGAAAUGUUGUGAUUGGUCCCAAUAAGGCUCUAAGUGAGGCUUGACAUCUAUAAAAAACCUGUGCGGAGAGAAGGCUGCUCACAAAGACAGACUGGGGAUUGGAAGAUGAGAAGAAGCAGAAGGAUAAGGCAGAGGGAAGAAGAAGAGGAAGUGAAAAAGCAGGAGAAACAUGGACAGGAU